GUGGGGAAUAUUGCACAAUGGGCGAAAGCCUGAUGCAGCGACGCCGCGUGAAGGAUGAAGUAUUUCGGUAUGUAAACUUCUAUCAGCAGGGAAGAAAAUGACGGUACCUGACUAAGAAGCCCCGGCUAACUACGUGCCAGCAGCCGCGGUAAUACGUAGGGGGCAAGCGUUAUCCGGAUUUACUGGGUGUAAAGGGAGCGUAGACGGCAUUGCAAGCCAGAUGUGAAAGCCCGGGGCUCAACCCCGGGACUGCAUUUGGAACUGCAGGGCUGGAGUGUCGGAGAGGCAAGUGGAAUUCCUAGUGUAGCGGUGAAAUGCGUAGAUAUUAGGAGGAACACCAGUGGCGAAGGCGGCUUGCUGGACGAUGACUGACGUUGAGGCUCGAAAGCGUGGGGAGCAAACAGG
rnacentral:rRNA from 1 species